AUCUAUGGCCAUGCUACCUUGAACAAGCCGAUUUUGUCUGAUCUCAGAAGCUAAGCAGGGUAGGGCCUGGUUAGUACUUGGAUGGGGGACCGCCUAGGAAGACCAGGUGCUAUAGGUG
rnacentral:rRNA from 1 species